AGUGUAAUAAUAACAGAUUAUCUUUCUUUUGAACAUCAAAUUAUUCAUUUUUAUUCCGUUUUGAACUUAUUUGGCCCACUGCUGUAAUAAUUUCUCGGACGUUGUAUACGUUUCACUUUCGGUGUGGCGUCCUCUUAACUCUUAAGUGUGGCUUAAGUACAAAAAGUAUAUAUGGCUAUGCAUAACACAUAGUGAAAACAUAUACACGAUAGUAUUGGUAUUAUUUAACUAUUUUUGGUUAUAUAUUUAUGUAGC